UUGUGGUCUUGGCCAUUAUGGUAACAGCUCAGGUCUUACAAGGUGAGCCUGUUAACUAGGAAUAGUGUCACUUUGUUCCUAGUUGUCAUUGCCUAACUGAGGGGCCAGUUCUUGUAAGAUGACUUGCUUAUACUGCCUCAUAGGUAAUUGUUCUCAUCCUUUGGAGUCUAAAGUAACUACAGGUUUUAGACAAUGCCUUCAGUUUCAUAGGAAGGAGAGAGGGUAGACAGGGUCUCUUGAAAUGAUUACCAUGUCCAUGUGUAGUGGUGGGGGUUGGGGCUCUUUGACAAAGUGAAGUGAUGGUGGUUGAUUAAAGUUGUUGGUCCCACUGGCAUCUUGGGGGAUGUAGGUUUUUGUUUUUGUUUUUUGUUUUUUGUUUUUUUUUUUGAGACCUAUGAUAAUUUGUGGGUUGCUUUGGCUGUACACUGGCAGUUUGUACAAGUUGAAGUCCAGUCUCUGACUGGGAUGAUGUCUAGCACUUUGGGGCAUUUGACUUGUGGUUGGCAAGCCUUUGUGAGAGAGCACUGGGACUUUGUGGCCUUGACUCAUGCUGGCCAACAAGGAACAGAAAGCUUAACUUCUUUUUUUUUUUUUUUUCCUGUCCCUGUUCUGUACGGUAUAGUUCUCUCAUGCUUUGGUAUUUUUCAGAGUGUUUCAGGCCUGUGCUUUGUCAUUGUGUUGAAUACAUUUCCCAAAUAAAAUGUGGGGGGAAAAAGUCUUAAAUACUUUUAUUUCUGAUAAUGAGACUCGCCCAUUCCAGAUUAAGUGGUCUGCUACUAAGCUACCUUUGUCCCUUUUCAAAAUUAGCCUUUGCAGGCCGGAGAGAUGGCUCAGCAGUGAAAAGUGCUUGUUUCUCCCUCUUACAGAGGGCUGGAAUUUGUUUUCAGUACUCAGAACCACGCAAUACCCGACCUCCAGGUCUAGCCUCCCCGUGGAUGCUCAUACACAUGUGCACGCAUGCACACACAUGCACAUUUAUACACACACAAAGUAAAAUGUUAUUUUGAGGUCUGGGGAUGUAUCUCAGUGGUAGAGUACUUGCCUAGUGUGUAGGAGGUCCUUAAUUCAAUACUAUGCUCCAACCAGUAAAAAGUAACAACAAUAAAAAUGUUUUGAGGAAGAGUCCUCAAAUCUUAGGAUUCUUCUGCCUUGACCCACAAUAAUUACAAGGUGCACUUUUACCAUGCCCAGAAAAUGCCUUUAGGAUUU
rnacentral:lncRNA from 1 species